GCCUACGGGACGCAGCAGUCGAGAAUCAUUCACAAUGGGGGAAACCCUGAUGGUGCGACGCCGCGUGGGGGAAUGAAGGUCUUCGGAUUGUAAACCCCUGUCAUGUGGGAGCAAAUUAAAAAGAUAGUACCACAAGAGGAAGAGACGGCUAACUCUGUGCCAGCAGCCGCGGUAAUACAGAGGUCUCAAGCGUUGUUCGGAAUCACUGGGCGUAAAGCGUGCGUAGGCUGUUUCGUAAGUCGUGUGUGAAAGGCGCGGGCUCAACCCGCGGACGGCACAUGAAACUGCGAGACUAGAGUAAUGGG
rnacentral:rRNA from 1 species